AUCCCCGUCUUCGUGCGGCCGACUACCGGCGCCGUGUCCCGUCAUUCGUGUGGCUUAGGUUACUGUUGCCUUUCGAGUGCUUGCGUGCAGGUACCCGACCUUCGGGAAGUGGUGCUUCGUACAAGGUUGCCUCGCGGUGGACGCCUUCGGGUGUGCUACUGCGGCCAAGUKGCGCUUGCGGCGUUGCCUCGUGGUGCCGACGCGUUUCGUGUCCGGCGCUAUCAAGGCAGCCUCGCUCCCGCUGUUGGUUUUGGAUGUUGCUCACGAUAUAGGCUCGUAGCCCUUUUGGUUGCCUCGACCUGACCCUAAGCAUGCUCUCCGAAUUUGAGAACAACCGGAACAGGUGWUGCCUCUACCUCUCCACAGUUAGUGGUAGGAUACGCAWCAUUCUGCGCCGAUCCUCAUACCAGUAGGACGAGCUUGGCCCGCUCAAUUGCGACAACCGGCCCGGCUGCUGUCUCUGCCUUGCCACGCAAGUGGUCGGGCGGACAACUKCCGAAGCUGGACGUCAAAAAGGACGUGCUACCUGGUUGAUCCUGCCAGUAG
rnacentral:misc_RNA from 1 species